rnacentral:rRNA from 1 species
GAUCCUGGCUCAGGAUGAACGCUAGCGACAGGCUUAACACAUGCAAGUCGAGGGGCAGCAUGAUUUGUAGCAAUACAGAUUGAUGGCGACCGGCGCACGGGUGAGUAACGCGUACGCAACUUACCUAUCAGAGGGGGAUAGCCCGGCGAAAGUCGGAUUAAUACCCCAUAAAACAGGGGUCCCGCAUGGGAAUAUUUGUUAAAGAUUCAUCGCUGAUAGAUAGGCAUGCGUUCCAUUAGG